GACGAACGCUGGCGGCGUGCUUAACACAUGCAAGUCGAGCGGUAAGGCCCUUUCGGGGGUACACGAGCGGCGAACGGGUGAGUAACACGUGGGUGACCUGCCCUCAGCUCUGGGAUAAGCCUGGGAAACCGGGUCUAAUACCGGAUAUGACUCCAUGACGCAUGUUGUGGGGUGGAAAGCCUUGUGCGGCUGAGGAUGGGCCCGCGGCCUAUCAGCUUGUUGGUGGGGUGAUGGCCUACCAAGGCGACGACGGGUAGCCGGCCUGAGAGGGCGACCGGCCACACUGGGACUGAGGCACGGCCCAGACUCCUACGGGAGGCAGCAGGUGGGGAAUCUUGCGCAAUGGGCGAAAGCCUGACGCAGCGACGCCGCGUGAGGGAUGACGGCC
rnacentral:rRNA from 1 species